CAAUAGCGUAUAUUUAAGUUGCUGCAGUUAAAAAGCUCGUAGUUGGAUUUCGGGUGGGAAUGGCCGGUCCGCCGUUUCGGUGUGCACUUGCUACGCCCACCUUGCUGCCGGGGACGUGCUCUUGAGUUCACGCUCGGGACACGGAGUCGGCGAGGUCACUUUGAGUAAAUUAGAGUGUUCAAAGCAGGCCUACGCUCUGAAUACAUUAGCAUGGAAUAACACGAUAGGACUCUGGCCUAUCUUGUUGGUCUGUAGGACCGGAGUAAUGAUUAAGAGGGACAGUCGGGGGCAUUCGUAUUUCAUUGUCAGAGGUGAAAUUCUUGGAUUUAUGAAAGACGAACUACUGCGAAAGCAUUUGCCAAAGAUGUUUUCAUUAA
rnacentral:rRNA from 1 species